UCUCUAUCUAUCUCUCUCACACACACUCGAACCCACGCUCUCUCAUAUACGCACGCACUCUUUCUCGCGCUCUUUCUCUCUUCACUCUCCAUUCUCGCUGUCAAUAACUUUUUGGGGUUUUCCACAGAAGUAAAAGAAAUGUAAUGUCCGAUGAUAAGCACCUGAUGAAAAAUAUGAAGCAUUCUGCCAGAUAGAGACUACAGUGUGGCGAUUGCAGACGCGUACCUUCAGUGCACUGUCCCAGUGGCGCCAUCCACAUGAAGUGAGCACAGGAGAAUUCGACACAGCGCUGUACUCAGAGGAGUGAGGAUUACACAGUUUACUCAACGAAUCAGUUGUACUAUGGACAAUAUCGCGAAUUGAGGGGGAAACAGAAGCGCCUCUCUCUCUCCCGGGCAUUGCUGGUGGCUGAUUAAAAGGAUGCCAGAUGGGCAGUGACGAAGAGGCCUGAGUUAACAGAUCGCCUGCUGCUGCUGUGUGCGUGGCACGGAUCGUCAGUGACAGUCUUGGAGGAAGGGUGUGUUCUUUGGCGUUUGAAGAGCUCUCAUCCAGCAGAAGAGUUCUCAUCCCCCUACACCCCAUCAACCUCCC
rnacentral:lncRNA from 1 species